AUACUUACCUGGCAGGGGAGAUACCAUGAUCAUGAAGGUAGUUUUCCCAGUGCGAGGCUUAUCCAUUGCACUCCAGAUGUGCUGACCCCUGCGAUUUCCUCAAAUGUGGGAAACUCGACUGCAUAAUUUGUGGUAGUGGGGAACUGCGUUCGCACUUUUCCUUG
ensembl:snRNA U1 U1 spliceosomal RNA